rnacentral:rRNA from 1 species
AAUACAUGCAAGUCGAGCGGACAGAAGGGAGCUUGCUCCCGGACGUUAGCGGCGGACGGGUGAGUAACACGUAGGUAACCUGCCCCUUAGACUGGGAUAACUCCGGGAAACCGGAGCUAAUACGGGAUAAUAAAGAGAAUCACCUGAUUUUCUUUUGAAAGACGGCGUCUAGCUGUCACUAAGGGAUGGGCCUGCGGCGCAUUAGCUAGUUGGUAAGGUAACGGCUUACCAAGGCGACGAUGCGUAGCCGACCUGAGAGGGUGAUCGGCCACACUGGGACUGAGACACGGCCCAGACUCCUACGGGAGGCAGCAGUAGGGAAUCUUCCGCAAUGGACGAAAGUCUGACGGAGCAACGCCGCGUGAGUGAGGAAGGCCUUCGGGUCGUAAAGCUCUGUUGUGAGGGAAGAACAAGUACCGGGGUAACUACCGGUACCUUGACGGUACCUCACCAGAAAGCCACGGCUAACUACGUGCCAGCAGCCGCGGUAAUACGUAGGUGGCAAGCGUUGUCCGGAAUUAUUGGGCGUAAAGCGCGCGCAGGCGGCUUCUUAAGUCUGAUGUGAAAUCUCGGGGCUCAACCCCGAGCGGCCAUUGGAAACUGGGAAGCUUGAGUGCAGAAGAGGAGAGUGGAAUUCCACGUGUAGCGGUGAAAUGCGUAGAUAUGUGGAGGAACACCAGUGGCGAAGGCGACUCUCUGGUCUNUAACUGACGCUGAGGCGCGAAA